rnacentral:tRNA from 1 species
UUCUUGUUAUUAUAAAAAGUAUGCCUGACUUCCAAUCAGGUGGUCUGUAGUUUGUCAGACGAGAAA